rnacentral:rRNA from 1 species
AUGCUCCAGGCCGUGACCGGCGUGUUGGAGCCGUUCAUGGAGGUGCUGCUGGAUGGGUACUGCCUCGGUGGAGGGUUUGAGGGCGUGGCCAUGCUCGUCGACGUCGGUGGCAGCUCCGGCGCCUUCCUCGCGAUGAUCAUGAGCAGGGUGCCCACCAUCCGCCAGGGACUCAACUUCGACUUGCCAGACGUCGUCGCCGCCGCGCCUCCCAUCUCUGUGAAGAAGGUGCAGGCAUGUAGCCACGGGAGCACGGGACAGCUUGAUCUAAAUGGCAAGCUAAAGUGCAGCAUUCGUGUACUGACAGUAAUACUCUAG